rnacentral:rRNA from 1 species
AUUGAACGCUGGCAGCAGGCUUAACACAUGCAAGUCGAGCGGGGUGAUGGUGCUUGCACUAUCACUUAGCGGCGGACGGGUGAGUAAUGCUUAGGAAUCUGCCUAUUAGUGGGGGACAACAUCUCGAAAGGGAUGCUAAUACCGCAUACGUCCUACGGGAGAAAGCAGGGGAUCACUUGUGACCUUGCGCUAAUAGAUGAGCCUAAGUCGGAUUAGCUAGUUGGUGGGGUAAAGGCCUACCAAGGCGACGAUCUGUAGCGGGUCUGAGAGGAUGAUCCGCCACACUGGGGCUGAGACACGGCCCAGACCCCGUCGGGAGGCAGCAGUGGGGAAUAUUGGACAAUGGGGGGAACCCUGAUCCAGCCAUGCCGCGUGUGUGAAGAAGGCCUUAUGGUUGUAAAGCACUUUAAGCGAGGAGGAGGCUCUUUUGGUUAAUACCCAAGAUGAGUGGACGUUACUCGCAGAAUAAGCACCGGCUAACUCUGUGCCAGCCGCCGCCGUAA